GAUGGGACAGAUGCCCAGCUCAGCAAUUAUUGGGAGUGGGGCAGGCUCAGAGGGUGGUGUCUGACACUAGAUUGCUUUGGUUUUGUUUUUAAAUUUCAGGGCCACAUACAUUAUCUGCUCACAUAUGUUAAAAAGAGACUAAGAAACACAGGGGCAUUUUGAGGUGAUGGGCAUGGAGAAAAGGCCGUGUGCCCCACUCCUGGGUCCACAUAAAUGCCUCUGCUGAGGGAGAAAAGACUUCAGAAAGAAAAACAGAUUUAAGAAUGUACUUCCAGAAUCUAGAUGACACAGGAGCUUUAGUUUCUGGUUAGGCACAAUCCUAGAUGUGAUCAGUCUGUUCAAUUUUUAAAUAAUAUGUCGUCUCAUGACAAAAAUAACACAUGCUCAAUGUAGAAUGUAGAAAACAUACUCCCCCCUCCAAAAAAAUCACCUGUAUUUCUACUCCCCUGGAGAUAAAGGCUAUUGUUAGCUUUUGAUGUAAGAACCUCCCAUUGUUUCUCUAUGCAUAGAUUUGUAUAUUUUAUAGAAAGGUUUUUUUUUGGUACAAUACUAUAUAUAUAAAGUUUCAAAACCUUUGACGUGAUAUAUUGUAAACAUCUUCCUGUGGCAACAUAUAAGACUUCAAUAACUGCAUGCUAUUUCAUUAUAUAGUUUUCAGGAGAGACCAUUGUAAAGGCAUAAGGUGGCCUCGGGGUUUUUAACUUCUACUGGAAAUCUCCUGUCUGCCCCACUCUCCCAAACUCUAUUCCUCCAAGGAUGGAGGUGAAGAGAAGAGAGUACCCAGGAGGUCUGGUUUUGAGAAAUGAUGUCGUGUGAGUGAUUGGACUCGGCAUUUGCCUAACCAUGCAAGGAGAUGGUUUAUGUUGCUUGAGGCCUUGACUGCUAAGCCGUGUUCUGGCAAUGAGAAGGCCAGGCCAGGCCAGGGCCUCAGGCUUCUCUCCCCGACCGUCUUGCCUGUGACUGCUGCCCAGCUAUGCCUCAGUUGCCUUCAGUAGUUGGAAGUCCUAGUUAUUUCAGGUAACGCCCAGCAUGUUAAAUUCGCAACCUUGACUGUUUUUUGCUGCAUCCUAAACUGGCCACACCACCCACACCUCGAAGAAGCAGGUUAAUUUCAUUCGUGCUCGGUGCCUUAAGGCGGAAUUAGUUCCUCCUUUUCGGGGAGAAGGAGCUGUCUCAGCUGACUGACUUGCCUUCACUUCACUUCCCAGGCUCUCAACGCCAGGCCAGCUGUGGCGAUGCCUCUGGCUUCUGAGGCUGUGGGUCUGGUCAGAAGCAGAAAAGCAGAAAGGACAAGACAGAGGUUCCCUGGAAAGCCAGCUUGGGCUGGGUGGGUGGGGCAGGCUGCAGGCCUUGGCAGGAAUCUGAGCCCAAAUGCCGGACCUUGGAGGCAACUGUAGUUUACACAAAAAUAAGGAGCUCCUGAGGGCCCGCACCAUUCCAUGAGCAGCAGAAGUUUAACCUCACCCUGGCACUGGCUCUCCGACACCCGCAUUGUGGAGAGGGAAGAGAGAUUUCUCAAUUAUCCCGUUUCAGCCAAGCCUUAUCACUGGAGGCUGCCCUGCCUAGGAAUUUGCAAUCACUUUGAUGGUAGCCAGGAUAUUUCCCCUCCUGCUGACUAUAGGGAAAAAAAGGACUGAAAAAAGAUUUUGCUAAGCAAAUGAAAGAUGUGAACGAGAUUAAAGUGAGAAUAUUUAAAUUACAGAAACUUAGUGCUUUCGAGCGUACUCAAGCAUUUUUGAAGCACCCAUUUAGGGACUGCUGAUUGAUAAGAGGUGAUGAAUUAUUCUUAUCUCAUCAUUGACGCCAGUCCCUGGCUCUCUGGAGGACAACACUUGGUUAACCUAAUUUGAAUCUAAUUUGAAUGACUUAAAAGUAAUAAAACAAGUGUGUGCUUGAAACUAAUAAAGCCUAAUUCAUUUAAUAGGCCAUUUCUUAAAUAAUUUUAUUUUAGAGCUGGAAGGGAACCUUCGAAAUCAUCCUUUAUUUUACAAAUAAAGAAACUGAGUCCCAGAACAAUAAAAUGCUUUGCCAAAGGCCACCCAUAGUUGGUGGCCACCCACACACAGUGGGGACUGGGACGCUGUGCCGAGUCAUGCCUGAGCCCUCCGCUCCACGCUGAGCCUGCAGUUCCACUUGUGGCAGAUUCAGACCCCUAUCGAGUUAGAGGAAUGAGUGGGGAGUGGGUGGCUACACCUUGUGUGAAGAAGACUUCCCCCGAACCCCAG
rnacentral:lncRNA from 10 species